UAAUUACCAACACCGCUAUGAAGUGCCAAAAUUGACUACCUGCCCAUGUUUCUCACUGUAAUGGCUCUCCGACUGAUGAUCAAACGUCUGCCUUCUG